GCGGCAUUAAUAGAUCGAUGGAUCGAUGGAUCGCGGCCAGCUCAGAUAUCUCUUCGCCUCUACUCCGCCGGGAGCAACAUGUGUCGCGGCUUUUGCUUCGCUUCCACGGCCACAUGCCGCGCCACGGGCACCCGCGCGCGCGCGCGCCCGCGCGCCGUCCUCACGCCGCGUCCGCCGCCCAGAUCCGGCGCACGCUCCUCCCCCUUUUGAGCCGCCAUCGCCGGCACCGCCGCGCGCGACGGCGCGGCGCAGCCGCACCGAUCUCGUGAAUUCCCCUCCCUGACCACUCUCCCGGCCCCGGCCCCAGCCACCACCUAAAUCGCAAUGCCUUUCUCCGCUAGCUCCCGCCGUCCCCUCCCCUCGACGGUGCCGGUGCGGCGCGCGCGUGGUUUCUCAGACACUCGAGGGAAUUAUGGGGGGUUUUGGAGAGUGAGACCACAAUGCCAGGAAAUUAUAGUCAACUUAAAGUUUGGUGGUAAUAUAUUAUGGUUCAUCAGCUUGCGUGCAUUAGUGGCAGUUGAUUUAAAAGGGCACGAUUCUGUCGGGAACUUCUGAAUUUUGUUUACAAAACUGUGCAGGAUUUACAAAUUAAGUAGUGGUGUUGGAUUGUGUCCACUUUUGUUUGAAUAAUAAUGCGAUGUAGGAGCUACAUUUCAGUGCUAUAAGAAGAAAUUCAUGCAAGGGGAUGGUGACAAGCUUGUGGCAGCAACUGCACAUCUUGCAAGAAAAUCUUUAGGGUUUUUCAGACCAUACCGAUGAUUUUCUUGCAAGUUGUGCAGUUGUUGUCUCAAGCUUGCUGCCUCCCUUUGCCAAAACUAUCAAGUGAGAAAGCAGGGUAGAGUUAUUCAAUUACAGGCACACAAGACAAAAUUAAAGUAAUAAACAUGUCUGACCAACAAACACAAUGAUUAAUAACAAAACUCUUGUGGCAUGAGAUAAUAUUGAAGCAUGAUGCUUACAACAGUUAUAAUAUGAAAACUAGAUGGAGGCAGGUACAUGUUUUGACAAGGUUGACAUUAUCUUAAUGGUUCUUCUAAAUCUUUUGAUUAACAAAAAUAUAUUUAUUUCCAUGGAUGCUAGUGCCACCAGGCAAUUGCAAAUGAACUCAUCAACAUAUGAACAUCUAGCAAGGUGAGUAAAGUCUGGUAAGGUGCUAGAUGAGUAAAGUCUGGUAAGGAAGUCAAACAUCUAAUAUGUAUGAAAAUUGUUCCUAGUGUUCUUAUAAUGAAGGCUGCACAUGUAAACUGUUUAGUCCAUCCUGAUCAUCUAUUGUUGUUUACUCUGAUCAGAUUACGUCGUCUCUACAUUGUGUAUUGGCUUCCACUGCUGAAUGUUUCUCUUAUUACCCAUGACAUGCUUGCUUGGAAGGGCAAUUUUGAGUUGAUCAUGAGGCCAGUCACAAUUCUUAGUAGUGAAUUAUGAAUUUCUAAAUGCAUUAUGUUAGUUUCAUGGCUUGAUCCUUGGUUUCUUUGUUUUGUAGGUUUGCAUGAAUUUCUCUAGGAAUGCCCAGUGAGUGAUCCUGUAAAUUUUGGAGUUGAUUGUUCAUCAGAAUAGCACUAUAAUUUUCCUGUCACCUGUGCUUUGGUAGCGGAACGUUCAUUGUCCCAUGCUACUCAGCUUUGUACUUUUGUAAAUCAAAUGAGACUGAAUAAUAUAUGUUUACUUUUGGAAGGAAAAAGAUGUGUAUGACUGUUCUCAAGCAAAUGAAAAAUUCCAGCUUUUAUGAAGUUAA